UACGUAGGGUGCGAGCGUUGUCCGGAAUUAUUGGGCGUAAAGGGCUCGUAGGCGGUUUGUCGCGUCGGGGAGUGAAAACACACAGCUUAACUGUGUGCUUGCUUCCGAUACGGGCAGACUAGAGGUAUGCAGGGGAGAACGGAAUUCCUGGUGUAGCGGUGAAAUGCGCAGAUAUCAGGAGGAACACCGAUGGCGAAGGCAGGUCUCUGGGCCGGAACUGACGCUAAGGAGCGAAAGCGUGGGGAGCGAACGGG
rnacentral:rRNA from 1 species